CCUACGUGUGGCAGCAGUGGGGAAUAUUGCACAAUGGGGGAAACCCUGAUGCAGCAACGCCGCGUGAGUGAAGAAGGAUUUCGGUAUGUAAAGCUCUAUCAGUAGAGAAGAAAAUGACGGUACCUGAGUAAGAAGCACCGGCUAACUACGUGCCAGCAGCCGCGGUAAUACGUAGGGGGCAAGCGUUAUCCGGAUUUACUGGGUGUAAAGGGAGCGUAGACGGGUGCGCAAGUCUGAAGUGAAAGCCCGGGGCUCAACCAGUGGACUGCUUUGGAAACUGUGUAGCUAGAGUGCUGGAGAGGCAAGCGGAAGUCCUGGUGUAGCGGUGAAAUGCGUAGAUAUUAGGAAGAACACCAGUGGCGAAGGCGGCUUGCUGGACAGUAACUGACGUUGAGGCUCGAAAGCGUGGGGAGCAAACAGGAUUAGAUACCCGAGUAGUC
rnacentral:rRNA from 1 species